CUGAAUAACUCAGCUGAUCGCACAGUCCUAGCACUGGUGACAUAUCUUUCAAGUGUCUGCCUUAUCAACUGUCGAUGGUAGUUUACAUGACUACCAUGGUUGUAACGGGUAACGGAGAAUAAGGGUUCGACUCCGGAGAGGGAGCCUGAGAAACGGCUACCACAUCCAAGGAAGGCAGCAGGCGCGCAAAUUACCCAAUCUCAGCUCGAGGAGGUAGUGACGAAAAAUAACGAGACGGUUCUCUAUGAGCACGAUCAUCAACUGCGAAACCAUUUGACACGUUUGACGAAGAUCUAUUGGAGGGCAAGUCUGGUGCCAGCAGCCGCGGUAAUUCCAGCUCCAAUAGCGUAUAUUAAAGUUGUUGCGGUUAAAAAG
rnacentral:rRNA from 1 species